UUAGUACUUUCUCCGUUCAAAAUUACUUGUCGCAGAAAUGGACAUAUCAAGACGUAUUUUAGUUCUAGAUAUAUCUAUAUCCAAGACAAGUAAUUUCGAACGGAGAAAGUAGUUU
rfam:Triticum urartu cultivar G1812 contig630253, whole genome shotgun sequence.